rnacentral:rRNA from 1 species
AGUCUGCAACUCGACUGCAUGAAGUCGGAAUCGCUAGUAAUCGCGGAUCAGCAUGCCGCGGUGAAUACGUUCCCGGGCCUUGUACACACCGCCCGUCACACCAUGAGAGUCGGGAACACCCGAAGUCCGUAGCCUAACCGCAAGGGGGCGCGGCCGAAGGUGGGUUCGAUAAUUGGGGUGAAGUCGUAACAAGGUACC